rnacentral:rRNA from 1 species
GUUUACAGCCAUAUCACACUGAAUGCACCAGUUCUUGUCCGAUAUCUGAGGUUAAUCAAUAUCGAGCUUAGUUAGUACUUAGAUGAGUGACUGCUUGAGAAACCUAGGCGCAGCAAGCA